rnacentral:misc_RNA from 1 species
UACGUAGGUGGCAAGCGUUGUCCGGAAUUACUGGGCGUAAAGCGUGCGCAGGCGGCCCGUUAAGUCCUUUGUGAAAUCCCGGGGCUCAACCCCGGAAUCGCAGAGGAUACUGGUGGGCUAGAGACCGGUAGAGGCCAGCGGAAUUCCCGGUGUAGCGGUGGAAUGCGUAGAUAUCGGGAAGAACACCAGUGGCGAAGGCGGCUGGCUGGGCCGGUUCUGACGCUCAUGCACGAAAGCGUGGGGAGCAAACAGG